UACGUAGGGUGCAAGCGUUAAUCGGAAUUACUGGGCGUAAAGCGUGCGCAGGCGGUUUUGUAAGUCUGUCGUGAAAGCCCCGGGCUUAACCUGGGAACUGCGUUUCUAACUGGCAGGCUUGAGUGUGGCAGAGGGGGGUGGAAUUCCACGUGUAGCAGUGAAAUGCGUAGAGAUGUGGAGGAACACCGAUGGCGAAGGCAGCCCCCUGGGCUAACACUGACGCUCAUGCACGAAAGCGUGGGGAGCAAACAGG
rnacentral:rRNA from 1 species